UACGUAGGGGGCGAGCGUUGUCCGGAAUUAUUGGGCGUAAAGAGCUCGUAGGCGGCUUGGCAAGUCGGAUGUGAAAACUCCAGGCUCAACCUGGAGCCGCCAUUCGAUACUGCUAUGGCUAGAGUCCGGUAGGGGAGUGUGGAAUUCCCGGUGUAGCGGUGAAAUGCGCAGAUAUCGGGAGGAACACCGAUGGCGAAGGCAGCACUCUGGGCCGGCACUGACGCUGAGGAGCGAAAGCGUGGGGGAGCGAACAGG
rnacentral:rRNA from 1 species